CCUACGGGGGACAGCAGUAGGGAAUCUUCCACAAUGGGCGAAAGCCUGAUGGAGCAACGCCGCGUGGGUGAAGAAGGUCUUCGGAUCGUAAAACUCUGUUGUUAGAGAAGAAAGUGCGUGAGAGUAACUGUUCACGUUUCGACGGUAUCUAACCAGAAAGCCACGGCUAACUACGUGCCAGCAGCCGCGGUAAUACGUAGGUGGCAAGCGUUAUCCGGAUUUAUUGGGCGUAAAGGGAACGCAGGCGGUCUUUUAAGUCUGAUGUGAAAGCCUUCGGCUUAACCGGAGUAGUUCAUUGGAAACUGGGAGACUUGAGGGCAGAAGAGGAGAGGGGAACUCCAUGGGGAGCGGGGAAAUGCGUAGGUAUAUGGAAGAACACCAGUGGCGAAAGCGGCUCUCUGGUCUGUAACUGACGCUGAGGUUCGAAAGCGUGGGUAGCAAACAGGAUUAGAUACCCGGGUAGUC
rnacentral:rRNA from 1 species